CACCGUCUCUCUGGUUUCUUCCUUUCCUACCAGAGAGGCUCUGCCAGUGCAGCCGGAGGCCGUGUGCAGAGGCUCCCCCUGCCGUCCGGGGGUCGGAUCAACCCCUCUGGAAGGAGAAGCCGGGGAGAGGAGGGGCGGUGAGGAGGUCUUUCUUAACCUCGGUAAAAUCUUCUCCACUGCAUUGAGGUCGUUAAUGAUGGAGCUUGAAGAUCAGAUACACCUAGAGGUGACCCUCCAACUUUCUACCUGGAGGGUGCAGAUCACAUUCCGGAAGCUGAAAGGAGGAAAAGGACUCGGCAUCUAAUAUAUACUUCGCCAACUGCAGAGACCAAAGAAGCCUGUUCUUUGCUAGAGAGGAGAAUUAGGACUGCCAUCAAGAGUUAAAUAGCGAACCCAGGGAUUUGACGACUUCAAAACAAACGUGCAAGUGUUAAAGUGGAGACUGAAGCAAGCAGGGGGAAGGGAAAUAAGCAACCCUUAGAGAAAACAGAAAACAUUCAACGAGGAGAAAACUUUAUUUAUAUCCUGAGAUGCGUGACCCCCAUUGCAACCAUAAAGCAGUUAACAGUCUACUAUUUUAAAAGGAGCAUUUAGAGACAAAAAAUAUAAUAGUAGAAAUGAAAAUUUCAGUAAAAUAAUUUGAAGAUGAAUGUUGGGAAGUAUCCUGGGGCGGGGGUGGGGAGGAGGGUGGGAAGCAAAAGAUCAAGUAAGUAAAAAAUAGGAAAGAAAAAAUAAAUUAGAGGACCACUCCAGGGGGGUUAAAAUCCAAAAAAUAAGAGUUCUAAAACAAAACAAAACAAACAGCGAUUAGGGAAAGAAUAAUCACCAGCAAAAUAAUUAAAGAAAUUUCUCCAAACCAAAGGUCAAGAGGUUUCAGAUUGAACUGGGACCCACUGAGAGCCAAGCACAAUGGAUUACAACCUGACUCAUCCUGUGGCUUGUCACUGUGAAACUGCAGAACGCUGAGGUCAGAAAGACAAUCCUAGGCUUCCAGAGAGGAAAAAAAAGAGAUCAUUUAGAAAGGCUCAAGAAUCAGUAUAUCAUUCAAUUUCUCAAUGGUCACAAAGAAACCCAGAAGAUAUUAGAGCAUGUCUGUCAAACUUCAAAAGAAAAUUUAUUUCACACUGAAAUUCUGUACAUGACUAGUAAACUACCAAUCAAAUGUGGAUAAAGAAUAAAGGUGUGUUCAGACAUUCAAGACCUCAA